GUGCAAUGGCGUUACUGGAAAGGUUACCUCUAACACGUCGUUUGGUCAAAGCGUCAGUUGCUAUGGAAACCGAAGCGCUGGUGAAUGGCAGAAAGGUUUCUCCCACGAAUCACGUCGCUAAUUAUCAAUCGACUAACGGUAAUGCUUCGAAAUCGGAAAUGUCACAAAAUGCCAGCGAAAACAAGGAAGAUAAUCAAACGUAUUCCGUAGAAACGUCAGAAGAAGGAUUGACCACUCUCGGUGAUUUAUCCGGUAAGUCUCAAAUUGAUCUCACGCCUUAUCGUUUCGUCUCUCUAUGGUUCGAAUUACUACUCAUAGAUGGCAGCAAAACAAACGUCAAUUUAAAUUUAACACAAGUUCACAUUGUUACGUUCAAAAUACUUUCGGUGUUUAAUUAUAUACAAUUUUUUCUAUAUUGAUUUAUCGUCGUAUUUAUAG
rnacentral:misc_RNA from 1 species